UAGGUCUUUUGUUCUUUUAAUAGUUUUCCAAAACCUUUCGAUUCAUUAUUCUUGAUCCCAAACUUAUGGGUUGAGUGAACUUCUUUGGAAUUUUUGCACGCUGAAAUUUUUGAAAUUAGUAUAAGAAUGAUCCUGAAAUUGAAAUUAUUUAAAUGCUUCAGUUUUGUUUCAGCAAUCUUCAUAUGUGUUUCUCGUUCCUCGAUUUUUGAAAUUUGCAUUUAUUUGUUUGCAACACAUUGAGUCUUUAUCUGAGGUUUUUCUUUCAGUUUAUUAACUCAACCAGUGAUGGAAUAUAGUGGGACGACUAACAUGUCUAAUCAACCAGUUAUAGAUUUUUUUUCUUUUUUUUCUUUAUUGUUUAUUGAGUUCAGUGUUUUCAAAAUAUUUCUGUAAGCACUUGGGAUUGAAAGUCCAACGUUAUGCCUGACAUUAGAUAAUUGGACUUCUUUUAUUAGUUAUCCAAAUGAAUUUGUUUCAUAUUUGUUCUAUUUGGACAGGAAUUGUAUGAAGAAAGAUAAUGGAGUUUUGGAGGUAAAUUUGUUUCAUAUUUGUUCUAUUUGGACAGGAAUUGUAUGCGAGAAAGAUUAUGAAGUUUUGGAGGUGAAUUUGUUAAUUCCAGUCAAAACGACGAAGAAAUCUUGAUAAAGUAGUUGUCCUUGUUAUUCUAUUUCUCUACCCAAUCCAGGUGUUGCAUUAAUCCCUUUUCAGCAUACAGAACUGUGAUCGAUCUUAAGUUUGUAUGCAACGACGUUUUUGAAAAUUUUGUGUCACAGACUUAUUAUUAGGACUUAUUACCUUGAUUUUAUCUGAUCAUUUUGGACUUGGUAUCCUCUUUUGUGGGUUUUGGUUUGGUUUCAAUUUUCAGUAAUGUCUGAUAAGUUGGCAGUAUUGGAUUUCCUUGUUUGCAUAUCAGAAACUGAACCAAUCUCAAGGCAUUAAGUUUUUAUAGUUGGAGUAGUAUGAGACAACUUUGUUUCUCUGAAAUUUAGAUAGUCUGUUUAAUAUUGCAUGGUAGGUUUUUUAUACUAUGUACAAGUAUAUCCAGUUUUAUUUGGAUAUUUUUUAGGAACAAUGCUUUUGGAAUAGGAUUGUUUGAGUGCUACCAUGGGAAAGUUCAACUUGAAACGACAACAACUCAUAAUAGCCUAAUUUCUUCUCUAUGAGGUUUCACCAUUUAUUUUACUUCUAAGGACUUGAGCACCAACAUUAGGAUUGAAUUGUGAUUUGUUUUUCUACAGUGGUUUAUGAUUGGAUUCAAUCAAUGUCUGGAUCUCAUCGAGCCUUUAAUGAGAUUGUUUCUGAGUUUAAGAAAACGUCUAAUAUUUUCUAAAAUUCCUCCCUUGGAACAAGUGUUUUUAGUUUUCUUGAAUUUUUGCUCUUUAUAGGUAAGACAAGCAAAGGAUGUGAGGACAUGUAGAAACAUGGGGAUCAAUUGAAGCCUUAGUUUGUGUUAAUUCGUGACUAGUUAUUUGAGUGCAGUUUUUUUAUUUGGUGACAAAGAUCUAUCAAAAUAAAAAAAUUAGUUUAAGAUUUCCUCUCUAUUUGAUAUUUUCAGAUUUGAUCACCAAAUGUAAGGAUUUUCUGUCGUCAUUUGUUUUUCUACAGUGAUGUUUGCAUUAUGUUUCAUGCUACGUCUAAUGGAUCAUGUUAUCUGGAAGUUUUUAUGGCUCUUGGUAACAGGCUUUACAAGGGUUUUCAGAGGAUCAGUAAUUUUAGAGGUGAUACCUAUUAUCAUAAUUGUGUGUUGCAGUGUGAAUUGUUCAAGUUUAUUCAUCUGCAAAAGGAAUCAGUUCUUCAUUCAUCUUUGCAGAAGAUUAGAUGGCUUGUUCAAGUUUAUUCAUUUGCAAAAGGGAUCAGUUCUUCAUUCAUCUUUGAAGAAGAUUAGAUGGCUAACUUUAUUGUCCGUUCAUUUGAUCCAGUAAGAGCCCAUUCUAGAAAUGUGGACUUCUCUUUUUUGUUCAUUUUUAGAUUUGGAAUUGUUUAAGUACCAACAACAUGAUUUCAUGGUCUCUUAUGAUUUCUCCUGAAUUCUUAGUUGUUGUCCUACUACCAACCAUGUGUGUAAAAGUUUGAAAUAUACGUUGUGGAUAUUUUCUAGGGAUAUAUAUAUAUAUAUAUAUAUAUAUAUAUAUAUAUUUAGUUGCUAGUUUUAUUUUUGAUUGAAUUACAUAAAUGAUUUAUUAAUAUGAUUAUUUGAUUAUAUCAGAGUUGUAGUGCUUUUUAUAAAAUUGUUCUUGGUAGUUAUGUAAUUGUUCAUGGUUGUUUUAUUACCUUUAAUAGUUAUUGUUUUUGGAAAAAUAAUCUAGAAGUCCUUUGUUGGCUUUUGAUUCUCUAACAUUUUUUUUUUAAUUUUAUAGUAGUUGUAUAUUGCUUUGACAAUUUAGUUUAGUUUUUUUAAUUGACUCUGAUUGUUAAUUAAAUAUUUAUUUACAUUAGAAUGUUGAUGAUGUAAAUGAUUUCUUUUAAUGUUGAUUAUGAUUCUAUUUUAUAAAAUAUUGUGUUAUGGUAAUCAUUAAUUAAUUGCUUUGUAUGCACUCAUUUAUCAUAUUGUUGUAUGACAAAUCUUAAAGCUCCCUAAGAGAAAGGUUCAUGGGUUGCUGUGUGGAAAGUUCUAAAACACGCUCAAUAUAGUAAAUUAUGGAUCAUGUGCUUUUACGGAAGAAUUAUUAAUAAAUUGAAGUACAUGAAUUCUUAGUAUAAUUCUCUAGUUGAUGAUGACGAGUUUUUAACCUUUCGCUUAAAUUUCUUUGCACCUUUUAAGCUUAUGGCUGGUUCACUGAUAUUUCUUUUGCCUUUGGAUGAUAUGAAAACCCCAACAGCCAAGGGCUAAGCAUAACGGAAGUCUUUUGAGUUUCCCUUUUAUUAUUUUUUUUUCUGGUAUUGAUGACCGAACAUAAGGAUUGAACUAUGAUGUGUUUAUCUGCAGUGGUGUUCGGAUUAGUUGGGUAUAUUCGCAUUAUCAAGUUUCUAUACUUCCUCUUAGCAAGAGCGGUUAUUGUUUCCUUCAAUUUUUUGACUGUAAAGGGUUUAUCGUUUCCUUCAAUAAAAUUUGAUAUUCGUGUUCAUUCCUUUUCAGCAAGUCAAGAGUCUCUGAGAUUUCUUUUGGCGGUUGAGGAACAAGAUGGUUUUACAGGAUAUUCUAAUUUCUCUAUACUUGAUCACCAACAUUGAAUAGUGAUUUGUUCUUAUGCAGUAAACAUAAAGAUUUAUUUUUGAUUUGUUUCUCUACAGCAAUGUUUUGAUUUUUUCGUAUCUAAUAGUUCUUUAUUACUAGUUAUAGUUCUGUUAAUUUCUCUAGCAAGAGCUCAGGACUAUUUGGAUUCAAUUUUUUUAUAACAAAACUUUAUUUUGUCUUUAAUAGUUUCCUUCAUUGACAAAUAAAUUUUGAACUCGGUUCUAGCAAAGCAUCAAUGUCUUUGCCUAAUUUGUGUUUCAAGAUUAUUGAUCUUUCGUAUUGAAGUUCUGAAAAUUAUAUUUUUUUCUUAGGUGGAGAAGUAUUGAAAAGAUGGAUCUUGAAGUUAUUCCUUUCAUUUUAGUAGUGUAACUAGCAAGAGCUCAAGAUUAUUUGCCGCCAUUCUUUGAUUACAGAAGUUUUUAUUUUGUUUGUUUCUUGCAUUGACAAAUGAAUUUUGAACUUGUUCUUGGAUAAUUUAUCUUUGGGAGAAAAUGAAUUGGUGGUGUAGGUUUGGGAAACAGUGGAUCAGGACACCCUGUGGAAAUUUAGGUUUUAUUAUGUGUUUAUUAUUUUCUUUGCUGCUAUUAUUCAUGGAUAAACUUGUGGAUUGGGAAUGCUUACCUCUUUAUGACAGGCACCGUAAAUGUCUGUGUCAGCCAUUUAAUUUUCUCUUUCUAGUCCACAGACAUUUCUUUCAGCAACUGAGUCAUUUAAUCGCAAAGAGAGUUUUGUUGCCUUUCAUGUUCUUUGUUGUCAAAACAACCUUGUUUCUUUUUUAUCAGCUAUAGUAUUUAGUUUCACUGCGAUCUCGGGAUGUGUUAUUUGGAAGUGAUGUGGUUACUCAUUUAAGGAUUGACGUGUUAUUUGGAAGUGAGGUGGUUAUUCAUUCGAGGAUUGAAUUCCAUUCCCUUUGACUUGCAUUGUUUGUGUUCAUUGCUAUCAAACAACUUUCUUCAUUUUAAAUGUAUGGAGUCUAUUUUUUUAAGAUGAAAUCCCCACUAAAUGUUUAUGUUUUAUUUUUUCUUUCUUUUUCAUCAUCUCCUAGUUAUUUGUGUUUCUCAUAGGCUUGGUCUCAUCCCUUCGACUUGCAUAUGUUUGUGUUCAUUGCUAUUGAACAACUUUCUUUUUUGCCAUUAGUCUUCUGGAGCUUUGCCAUGAGACUUCUUGAGUUUUGCCGUGAGACUUCUUGAGUUUUGCCGUGAGACUUCUUGAGCUUUGUCACAAGUCUUCUUGAGCUUUGCCACGAGUCUUCUUGAGCUCUGCCAUGAGUCUUCUUGAGCUCGGCAAUGAGUUUUCUUGAGCUUUGUCGUGAAGAAUGUAGGGGUCAGGUUUUGGAAACCGUGGAUGGAGAUGCAGUUAAAGUUUCGGUUUUAUUAUCUUUGCAUUUAUUAUGCUGAUAAAAAAAAUCUUUGCAUUCAUUAUUUUCUUUUUUGAUAUUCUUUUUGCUACUCUGGUGGAGUGGGAGUUCUUGUAAUUGGACCUUUGACUUUGAUGAUUUGAUUAUCUUCUACUUGUGUUGUAGAGAAUUUUGAGCUUUGCCAUUAGUCUUCUUGAGCUUUGCCAUGAGUCUUCUUGAUCUCUGCCUUGAGCCUUCUUGAACUCUGCCAUGAGUCUUCUUGAGCUUUGCCAUGAAUCUUCUUGAGCUUUGUCAUGAAUCUUCUUGAGCUUUUACAUGAAGGAUGUAGGGGUCAGGUUUUGGAAAUAGUGGAUGGAGAUACAGUUAAAGUUUAGGUUUUAUUAUCUUUGCAUUUAUUAUGCUGAUAAAAAAAAUCUUUGCAUUCAUUAUUUUCUUUGCUCCUAUUCUUUUUGCUACUCUUGUGGAGUGGGAGUUUUUGUAAUUGGGCCUUUGACUUUGAUGAUCUGAUUAUCUUCUUCUACUUGUGUUGCAAUGAACACUUACCAUGGAUGUUUGUUGGACAUAUUGUGAAGCUUCAGGUUUUAUUACUUUUCCACUCACUAUUUUUCUUAUGUGCUCGAUUUGGAAUGUGUACAGUUUCUCUUAUUUGUUGGAUAGUUGGAAGGUAUUUCAUUGUAUUGUAUGUAUCUAAGCAAGAGCAAUACUUCUAGGUCCUCCAUCAUCUAACCAUAUUGAUUAUAGUUUUCUUGAAUUCAUUGGCCUAAAAGGAAAGCUAAGCAAUGAAGUUUGGUGUAGGAUGUAAAAAUGGUUGGUGGAAAUUCUGUGAUCAGUGAAGCUAAAUGUUUCUCUCAUUAGGACAUUGUUGUGUUUAACUGAAUUAAUUUUUAACUGGCUAAACUUGUUGGUUUGAUUAUAAUCUUGGUUGUAUUUUGAUGGUGUAUGGUUCUAAGAGGCAUUGUGGGAUUAGCAUGAGACAAGUGUGGUUGGGCUUUACUCUUUUAUUUGAUGGUUUGCUUCUUGGUUUGGAAAGUUCUACUAUUUAAUUUUGAUGACUUCUCUGCAUAAUUCUAUAAUAUAGGUCUGUUGUUCUUUUAAUAGUUUUCCAAAACCUUUUGAUUCAUUAUUCUUGAUCCCAAACAUAGAAUUUUUGCAUGUAAUCUCGUGUGAUCCUAGACAACAAUGUCUCUUACUAUGAUGACGGACAUCAAUGUCUCUUACGCUGAAAUUUUUGAAAUUAGUAUAAGAAUGAUCCUGAAAUUGAAAUUGUUUAAAUGCUUCACUUUUGUUUCAACAAUCUCAUGUGUUUCUCGUUCCUUGAGUUUUGAAAUUUGCAUUUAUUUGUUUGCAACACAUUGAGUCUUUAUUUGAGGUUUCUCUUUCAGUUCAUUAACUCAGCAAGUGAUGGAAUAUAGUGGGACGACUAACAUGUUUAAUCAACCAGUUAUAGAUUUUUUUCUUUUUUUCCUUUAUUGUUUAUUGAGUUGAGUGCUUUGAAAAUAUUUCUGUAACCAAUUGGGAUUGAAAGUCCAGCGUUAUGCCUGGCAUUAGAUAAUUGGACUUCUUUUAUUAGUUAUCCAAACCGUUCAUUUUUUUCAUAUUUGUUCUAUUUGGACAGGAAUUGUAUGCGAGAGAGAUAAUGAAGUUUUGGAGGUGAAUUUGUUAAUUUCAGUUACGACUAUGGAGGAAUUGUAUUUUGGAGGUGAAUUUGUGAAUUUGUAUGAGACAACUUUGUUUCUCUGAAAUUUAGAGAGCCUCUUUAAUAUUGCAUGGUAGUUUUUUUAUACGAUAUACAAGUAUAUCCAGUUUUAUUUGGAUAUUUUUUAGCAACAAUGCUUUUGGAAUAGGAUUUGUUUGAGCGCUACCAUGAGAAAGUUCAACUUGAAACGACAACAACUCAUAAUAGCCUAAUUCCUUCUAUAUGAGGUUUCACCUUUUAUUUAACUUCUAAGGACUUGAUUACCAACAUUAGGAUUGAAUUGUGAUUUGUUUUUCUACAGUGGUUUAUGAUUGUCUUCAAACAAUGUUUGGAUCUCAUCGAGCCAGUUGGUUUCUGAGUUAAGAAUUUUUCUAAUAUUUUCUAAAAUUCCUCCCCUGAAACAAGUGUUUUUAGUUUUCUUGAAUUUUUGCUCUUUACAGAUAAGACAAGCAAUGGAUGUGUGACGACAUGUAGAAACAUGGGGAUCAAUUAAAGCCUUAGUUUGUCUUAAUUGGUGACUAGUUAUUUGAAUGCAGUUUUAUAUGUGGUGACAAUGAUCUAUCAAAAUAAAAAAAUUGGUUUAGGAUUUCCUCUCUAUUUGAUAUUUUCAGAUUUGAUCACCAAAUAUAAGGAUUUUCUGUUGCCAUUUGUUUCUCUGCAGUGAUGUUUGCAUUAUGGCUUUACAAGUCUUUCAGAGGAUCAGUAGUUUCAGAGGUGAAUUGUGUGUUGCAGUGUAAAUUGUUCAAGUUUAUUUAUUUGCAAAAGGGAUCAAUUCUCCAUUCAUUUUUGCAGAAGAUUAGAUGGCUAACAUUAUUGUUCGUUCAUUUGAUCCAGUAAGAGCUCAUUCUAGAAAUGUGGACUUCUCUUUAAAAGCCUUUGGUAUUUUAACUAUCUUCAAAAGAUAUUUUUUCUGGAUCUAUUGUUUUGACAGAGCAGGUCUUCGAGGAAGACACGAGUGUUGUUGAUUUUUAGAUUUGGAAUUGUUCAAGUACCAACAACAUGAUUUCAUGAUCUCUUAUGAUUUCCCCUGAAUUCUUGGUUGUUGUUUUGCCAGGGUAGGGUCUGGGUAGAUUUGGGUUUUUGGAUUCGGAAUUGUCCAACUACCAACAAUGUGUGUACAGGUUUGAAAUAGAUGAUGUGUUUGUCAGAUAUUUUCUAGGGAUAUAUAUAUAUAUAUAUAUAUAUAUAUAUAUAUAUUUAGUUGCUAGUUUUAUUUUUCAUUCAAUUACUUAAUUGCUUUAUUACUAUGAUCAUUUGAUUAUAAAAUUAUUCUUGGUAGUUAUAUAAUUAUUCAUGGUUGUUAGAUUACCUUUAAUAGUUACUGUUGUUGGAAAUAUAAUCUAGAAGUCCUUUGUUGGCUAAUGAUUCUCUAACAUUUUUUUUAAUUUUAUGGUAGUUGUAUUUUGCUUUGACAAUUUAGUUUAGUUUUUUUUAUUAACUCUGAUUGUUUCCAGCAUCGACACAUGAAUUUUGAACUUGUUCUUGCAUAAUUUAUCAUGGGAGAAAAUGAAUUGGUGGUGUAGGUUUGGGAAACAGUGGAUCAAGACCCUAUGGAAAUUUGGGUUUUAUUCUGUGUUUAUUAUUUUCUUUGCUGCUAUUAUUCACGGAUAAACUUGUGGACUGGGAAUGCUUACCUCUUUAUGACAGGCACUGUAAAUGUCUGUGUCAGCCAUUUAAUUUUCUCUUUCUAGUCCGCACUCAGACAUUUCUUUCAGCAACCAGUCAUUUAAUCGGAAAGAGAGUUUUGUUUCCUUUCAUGUUCUUUGUUGUCAAAACAACCUUUGUUUCUUUCUUAUCAGCUAUAGUAUUUAAUUCACUGCGAUCUCAGGAUGUGUUAUUUGGAAGUGAUGUGGUUAUUCAUUCGAGGAUUGAUGUGUUAUUUGGAAGUGAGGUGGUUAUUCAUUCGAGGAUUGAGUUUCAUUCCCUUUGACUUGCAUUUUUUUGUGUUCAUAGCUAUCAAACAACUUUCUUCCUUUGAAAUGUAUGGAGUCUAUUUUUUUAAGAUGAAAUCCCCUCUAAAUGUUAAUGUUUUAUUUUUUUUCUUUCUUUUUCAUCAUUUCCUAGUUAUUUGUGUUUCUCAUAGGCUUGGUCUCAUCCCUUC
rnacentral:lncRNA from 1 species